GAUCCAGGGGCAGCCACAGCAAAGCUGGGAAUUCCAGCCCAGCCCCUCCCCACCCUCCCAGGCAGCAAUUCCUGCACAAGAUCCCAGCCCAAUCUCCCCUUUCCCAGUGGGAGCCAUUCCCUGUGUCCUGUCCCUCCAUCCCUUGUCCCCAGUCCCUCUGCAGCUCUCCUGGAGCCCCUGCAGGGACUCUGAGGAUUCCCUGGAUUUUUCCCUUCUCCAGGGGAACAUUCCCAGCUCUCCCAGCCUGGCUCCAGCUCUGGGGCCUCCUCCGGAUUCUCUCCAACCCCUCCACAUCCUUCCUACUUUCCCCCAUCUCCACUCAUGGCCUCCAUAAAAAAACAGGAAUUCCAGUGUGGGAUCCUCAGGUGCCACUGGCCGGGAAUCUCCUCCAGAACAAACUCCACCCUCAGGAGAACCAGGCUGGAAAACCGCACUGCAAUUCCAAGGGCACGAUCCCAAAUGCCAGGGGUCGGAGUGAGGCUCGGGAGCCUAAAAAAAAACCCGGAGGGAGGCCAGGAAGAGCCGGAGGGGAAGGAUUUGGGAUGGUUCGGGAUGAGUCACGUUGGGAAUGAGUCAGCAGCGUCCUGCUGCUGUUCUAUCCCGGGGUUUAUAAACAAAUUCCUGCUCCUGAGGACACCGAGGGAAUUUUUCCGCUCUGGAGCUGGGACAGGGAUUCAUUGACACUGAGGGCUCCGUGACCUUUCCAAAAAAAAAAAAAAAAAAAAAAAAAGGGAAGAGAAAUCCCACAAAAUAAUUUGGAUAAAAAACCACGGCCCAUGAUGAGCCAGGGGUGGUUUAAUCCAGAAAGGAAAAGAAAGGAAAUGGGAAUUUCAGGAUUUGUGACUUUGCUGCCCUUUCCUCCCGGUUUUUGUUCCAUUUUUGAUGUCGGAAUUCCUUCUGAUCCAUAAAAAACAUGGAGUUCCCAUGCUGUGACAUCGCUCCGGCAUUCCUACAUCCCAGAUCCUUGGAAUUCCUGCAUCCCAGCUCCCUUCGUGCUGGGGAAAGCCAGGUUGGACACCGGGGCUUGGAGCAGCCUGGGAUGGUGGGAGGUGUCCCUGCCCAUGGAAUGGGAUGAAUUCCCAGGUCCCUUCCCACCCAAACCAUUCCCGGGACACACCUUUGGGAUGCAGAGGAUUCUCCUCAUCCUCACCACCCAAUUUUUCCCUGGAUACAGCUGGAAGAGCCCUUUCCACAUUUCCCAUCUGAGACACCCAAGAGUGACAAUCCCAGUGGGAAAGGGAACAUCCCCCACUCCCUCUCCAAUCCCAACAUUUUAGGGAUUGAAUUUGGGAAGGGGGGUGAGGGUCCUUAUCCAAAAAUACAGGGACCAUCUCAGCGAUUCCUCGGGAAUGCUGGAAAAGUGACCUGGGAGCCGCUGGAAUCGUGGGAUUUGCUCCAACAGCCUCAUCCCAGUUUUCCUCCCAUUCUCCCGAUCCCAACCCAGCUGUUCCCUGCAGCAGGGCUCCACCCCUUAAAAUCCAUAGGAACGAGGAUCUCCUGCUUUUCCGGGGAUUUUCUCCACCUCCGGCCUGUGUGAAUCCAGCUCCAGCCCCACCGCUCCCAAAUCCAGGUGAAUCCAUCAAUCCCAGCCCCGGCGGCUGCCCAAAAAUUCCGGAGUUUUUUGCAAGAGCCCUUCGUCAGGGAGAAAAAAUUUCCUGGAAACCUCAGCGAGGCGGUGAAAAGCGGGAUUGGGAUGGGGGUUGGGAAGAGAGGGGAGGAGGGAGCGCGGUCAAGGCCGGGGCAGGAGUUCAUGGAGUUGGAGGUUUUGUGGGAAUGUUUUGUUUGUUCUGGAUUAGGCUGCGGAUUCCUGAAGGAAAACACGCUCGGCUCAAAGCGGGAUGGGGAGAAGGGGUUGGAGCUGGGAUGGGAAGGAGCGAGAGGAGGAUUUGGGAGUGGGGGAAAGCCGGGAUUGGGGAUGAGGGAGGAGAAUCCCGGUGGGAUAAAAAGGGGGAAUUGUAGCCUGAAAAAUUCCCACAGAGCCGGAGAAUCCCAGGGCAGGAGUAACAGCCCCGCUCCAGGGAUCCUGCCAGGUUAUCCCAGCUCCCAGAAAAUCCUUGGGAUGCAGGAACAGCCCCACUUCAGGGAUGUCUGGAUCCUGCCAGGCUGUCCCAGCUCCCACUCAGAAAAUCGGGAUACAGAAGCAGCUUCUCUCCAGGAAUCUCUGGAUUCAGGGGCAAUCCUGCUGGGUUAUCCCACCUUCCAGAAAAUCUUUGGGAUGCAGGAGAAGCCUCACUCCAGGGAUCUCUGGAUCCUGCCAGGUUUUCCCAUCUCCCAGAAAAUCCUUGGGAUGCAGGAACAGCUCCAUUCCAGGGAUCCAGGGGCAGCCACAGCAAAGCUGGGAAUUCCAGCCCAGCCCCUCCCCACCCUCCCAGGCAGCAAUUCCUGCACAAGAUCCCAGCCCAAUCUCCCCUUUCCCAGUGGGAGCCAUUCCCUGUGUCCUGUCCCUGCAGGCCUUGUCCCCAGUCCCUCCCCAGCUCUCCUGGGGCCCCUGCAGGGACUCUGAGGAUUCCCUGGAUUUUUCUCUUCUCCAGUGAACAUUCCCAGCUCUCCCAGUCUGGCUCCAGAAUCCUGGAGCAUUUUCCCUCCUCCACAGCAACCUAUGGAUGAACUGGGAACAGCCCCUUUUUUCCAUGAGGGAUAUAUUUCCCUGAAGUUCCAGCCAGAUCCACAGCAAUUCCCAGAUCCUGGAAUCUCUCUGAAGCUUCAUCAGGAUGCGGAAGGAAAAUAUCCCUGGAGAUGCUCCGCAGUGGGAAUUCCGUGAAGGAACGAGCAGGGAGAGCCCAUGGAAUCCUGGAAUGGUUUGGCUUGGGAGGAGACUACAAGGACCAUCGAAUUCCAAGGACAGGGACAAUAUUCCAGUGGGAAUAAACUUUCCAGAUAUUCCAUAAUUCCAUGACCUCCCCUUUGGAACUGUCCCUGAAAAGGAUGGAUAACCCUGGAAUAACCUUCCCAAAUCAGGAUAUUCCAUGAUUCCAUGAUCAGAGAGCUGUCCCUUGAAAAGGAUGGAUAAACCUGGAAUAUCCCUCCCAACUCAGGAUGUUCCAUAAUUCCAUGAUCACACAGCUAUCCUUGAAAAGGACGGAUAAACCUGGAAUAUCCCUGAAUAUCCCUCCCAGCUUGAGAUAUUCCAAGAAUCCAUGACCACAGAGCUGUCCCUUGAAAAGGACGGAUAAACCUGGAAUCCGGGAGAACUCGCUUGGAAAACUCUCCCCAAACCUCCGAGAUCCGGAGGCAGAAGGAGCCCUUUAUUCCCUCCAGCCUGAAGCCGACUCCUCAUUAGUGGGAUGAGGUCAUUCCUGGAGGAUUGGGAUGGGAUCCCUCCAAAAAGCGGCCCUUGGAAGCUUUCCCUCCUCCAAGAGAAACGUGGGACCUCUGUCUCCCUUUCCUGGAGGAUUCCAGAACUCCAAACAAGCCGGGAGUUGGCUCCGUGCUCCGGCAUUACUCAGGAAAUCUGGCAGGAGGGAAAACCGGUGGACAUUCCAAAAAAAGAAAGAAAAAAAUUCAGAAUUCCUGGUGUUACAAGGAGUCCAUUCAGUCGGAAAAUCCCAGGCCGUUAUCCCGUGCCAAGAACAUCCAAAUCAGUGGAAACAAUUCCCUGAAUUUCUGCAUCAUUUAAUCCUGGGAAGAAAAAAAAAAAAAAAAAAAGAAAAAAGGGCCGUGAUGUGUCCCUGUCAGAAUUAACACCAGCUGUGGCUGAAUCCCAACGCGUGUUCCCAUCGGAUUGCCCUUAGGAAAGCACCUUCCUUCCUGGAAUCCCUCCAUCUCUGAGUGCACGACAUCCCCACUAUCCCAGAAACUCAGGAAUGGCUUUUAAAGGGAAGAAAAAUGGGAUACAAAGUCUUGGAGGAGCCUAUGGAGAGAUGGAGCUCGUCUGCAUUUCCCGGCCUUGAGAAACCUCGGGAAAUCUUCGGAGCCAUUCCCAAGCAUCUGGGAUGGGAAAAGCCGAGGGGCUGGUUGGAACUUUCUGGCAAGGAAGGAGCAGGGAAGGGAAGGGCCCGGGAGCGGGAAUUUCUCCACGUCCGGAGGAGAAGGAGCUGGAAGCGAUUCAGAGCUCCGGAGGCCCCAAAAUCCCGGCUGGAAUCCCAGCGCUUGUAUCCCGCUCAUUUUCGGGAGGCUGUAAUGGGAAACAGCAGCCAGGGAUAAGCGGCCGUGGCCGCGUGAGCUCCGGGCCGGGACAAUCCCGAGGUUCUCGGGAGCUACUGCUCUGGCAAAUCCCUGCUCCCAGGGGCGCCGGAGCACGGCGCUUUCCCUGGAAGCGGGAGCAGAGCGGCUGGAAUGUUCAUGGAGAGAUGGAUGCGGGGAUGGAGAGGGGCUGAGAGAUCCGAAGGGGGAGGAACAAAGUCAUGGAUCUGGCAGGGAGCGGGGUGGGAAGCCUGGGAGUGGUGGUGGGAUCCGUGAUCCGGAGCUCCGUCCUCUCCUGCCUGGAAUUCCUCCCUGCUGUUGUCCUCAUGGAGCUGAGGGUGGAGCAGGUCUCCAGAGGGACCUGGGGAAAAGUGGAAAAUCAGCCCCAAAAUUGUGAUUUUUGCACGGAUGAGCCCAGAAAAAAAACCCACUCAAACCGCUCCCAGGAUUUGGAGUGUGGCCUCAU